UACGGAGGGUGCAAGCGUUAAUCGGAAUUACUGGGCGUAAAGCGUGCGCAGGCGGUUUGUUAAGUCCGCUGUGAAAUCCCCGAGCUCAACUUGGGAAUUGCAGUGGAUACUGGCAGGCUGGAGUACGGUAGAGGAUGGUGGAAUUCCUGGUGUAGAGGUGAAAUUCGUAGAUAUCAGGAGGGACACCGGUGGCGAAGGCGGCCAUCUGGACGACUACUGACGCUGAGGCGCGGAAGCGUGGGGAUCAAACAGG
rnacentral:rRNA from 1 species